rnacentral:lncRNA from 1 species
GGAGGCCACGUGACAGCAGUGGGCCGGCCCUCCGGCUGAGCCCUGAUCUCUAUGGUUUCCGCGGCUCGCUAGAAGGAGUGUGGUCCACUGGAGGACUCCCUACAUUCUUCCUCCAUUACCUCACUGCCUCCGGUGGCUGCUGGGAUACCGGAGGACUCGGGUCCCGGCUCGACUCAGUCUUCCAGCCGCCCGGGGAACACCUCUAGUUCUUCCCGGCCUCCUUCGCCCCGCCCCGUCCGCGCAGCGCGUCCGGCCCGCCCGCAGGCCAGCUUCUCUCGGGAGCCCCCACCCAGGCGCAUGGCUCCAUGAAGCAAGAGGAGGAGGCAGAGCGCGAGAGGUCCCGUCCGCCCCAGCCGCGUCUGGGCCAGGAGAAAAGGUGGGAAACUCGGGCUGCACCGCACCCUUCUCCCCGCUGCCGGGCCAGGCCUCCCUCGGUCCGCCGCCGCCUUGCCCGCCGGGCCUGUUCUCGCCGGGGCGGGCGGCGGGGCCGGGAAGAGACCCCGCGGUCCUGGGGCGAGGGUCCGGGGGCAGCGUGGGGGAGGGGUCCCGGGCGGCGGGCGGGGCCUCAGGCCAUGUCCCAGCGGAGGGGAGGGGGUCGGGAGGCACUGCCGGGGAGGGGCGGGCGGCGCCGUGCCCCGGGCCGCGAGGCUCGGCUCCCGCUCCUGGUCCUUGUCUGCACUCUCUCCAGGAAGCAGGCUCGCUCGCUGUAAUGUUUGGUGGUCUCCGGCGCCGCCUGGCGGCCCCCACCCACCGUCCCGCCGCCCCGCCGCCCCCUCCCCCGCCCGGCGUCUGGAUUGCACCCCCGCGGCUCGGCCCAAGCUGCUCUACCCGUCGCUCCAUCGUCUCCCCAACUCCCCAGCGCCCCGGACCCUCUUUCCUCAUACCCUCGUUUCUCACCUUUCACCCUGUCCCUCGGCCCGCUUUUCCCGUCCCCGCUCUGUCCUGUCGUUUUCUUAACACUCUUCACAGGCGCACUUCCUCCUCCUCCUCCUCUUCUCUUUUUCCCACCCCUACCCUUGGGCCCUCCUUCCUUAACCUCCGCUGGCCCCCCAUUCCAUGAUCCGUCCACCUGACACGCUGGGUUUCAUGCCUCUCUUUCCCAGGCUGUGGGUUGUGCCCUUCACUCCUUGCCCUCCUCCAUUCCCUGUCCUGAUCUGA